GGAAGGAUCAUUACCGAGUGCGGGUCCUUCGGGGCCCAACCUCCCACCCGUGUCUACCGUACCUUGUUGCUUCGGCGGGCCCGCCGCAAGGCCGCCGGGGGGCGUCCCGCGCCCCCGGGCCCGUGCCCGCCGGAGACCCCUCGAACGCUGAUCUUUGAAGGCGUGUCGUCUGAGUCGCGUGAGAAAUCGUGAAAACUUUCAACAACGGAUCUCUUGGUUCCGGCAUCGAUGAAGAACGCAGCGAAAUGCGAUAAGUAAUGUGAAUUGCAGAAUUCCGUGAAUCAUCGAAUCUUUGAACGCACAUUGCGCCCCCUGGUAUUCCGGGGGGCAUGCCUGUCCGAGCGUCAUUGCUGCCCUCAAGCACGGCUUGUGUGUUGGGCCGCCGUCCCCGCCCUCCGCGGGGGGACGGGCCCGAAAGGCAGCGGCGGCGCCGCGUCCGGUCCUCGAGCGUAUGGGGCUUCGUCACCCGCUCUGCAGGCCCGGCCGGCCGCCCGCCGAGUCAACCACUUCUCUUCUCCAGGUUGACCUCGGAUCAGGUAGGGAUACCCGCUGAACUUAAGCAUAUCAAUAAG
rnacentral:rRNA from 1 species